GGGCCCGUCGUCUAGCCCGGCGUAGGACGCCGCCCUCACACGACGGAGAUCGGGGGUUCAAAUCCCCCCGGGCCCACCA
rnacentral:tRNA from 1 species